AAGUAAUGAGGCGAGCACGGCAAGCGUCUGAAGCUUGACACAGUCGGUACUCCCUUACAAAUCUGAACCCUUUCAGUCAGACUCUGAAGACGAGGGAGACGGCGGUGCCACUGGCGUCACUUCCAGUUUACAAGUUCUAUAUUUACUUCCUUAGUGAAAGGUGGUGUUUGUUUUAUCACCAUGCACUCAGGAUUUGAUCAGGCCUGUCUAAGUCCCUAUACAUUGGAAAUCGCAUACUUUUAGCACAGGAAGUAGUAAUUCAAGUAAAUCAUACAGUAAAUCAGACACAUGGAAAUACAGGGGUAUCUUAACAUAUCUUAUUGCCAAGUGGUGUGGCGGUGCAGAU